rnacentral:rRNA from 1 species
AUUGAACGCUGGCGGCAGGCUUAACACAUGCAAGUCGAGCGGGGUGAUGGUGCUUGCACUAUCACUUAGCGGCGGACGGGUGAGUAAUGCUUAGGAAUCUGCCUAUUAGUGGGGGACAACAUCUCGAAAGGGAUGCUAAUACCGCAUACGUCCUACGGGAGAAAGCAGGGGAUCACUUGUGACCUUGCGCUAAUAGAUGAGCCUAAGUCGGAUUAGCUAGUUGGUGGGGUAAAGGCCUACCAAGGCGACGAUCUGUAGCGGGUCUGAGAGGAUGGUCCACCACACUGGGACUGAGACACGGACCAGACUCCUACGGGAGGCAGCAGUGGGGAAUAUUGGACGAUGGGGGGAACCCUGAUCCAGCCAUGCCGCGUGUGUGAAGAAGGCCUUAUGGUUGUAAAGCACUUUAAGCGAGGAGGAGGCUACUCUAGUUAAUACCUAGGGAUAGUGGACGUUACUCGCAGAAUAAGCACCGGCUAACUCUGUGCCAGCCGCCGCCGUAA